rnacentral:sRNA from 1 species
UAGAUAGGCCAUAUGACUUGUAGUUGGUCCAAACAGCCAAAUAUUUAGUACAAACUUCAGACUCGCGAUAUAAUACAUGAAAGGAGUCACAACGCAAAAAUCAAGAAUGGACCUCAGAAGAAGACAACAGUUCAUGGACCAGUGACGUCACGUGACUUUUUUCACUCGGGGGAUUACUUGUAAACUGUACGCAAACUUUGAUAACAAUGAUAUAAUUCUAGCGCCCUAAUCCUUUCUGGCGCCUCGCUAUAAAAGGACGUUCAAAUACUGUAAGUUUAGUUGAUCGCCAUCUUAUUGACCAAACUCCAGUGAAUCGUAUCAUCAGAACCACUGUAAAUACUUGUGAUUGGAGUCCAGAGAAUGGUGACAUUCUGUUCUCGGAUUUCUGUUAUCACUGUUAUGACAGUGGCGUUUCUGCUUUCUGUUAAUGGAGUCCCAGCUCCCAGACCAAUGAGAUCGCCUCCAAGAUCUCCUAAAGUAGCCUUGCGACCUCCGCCUUUACGUGCUCUGAAAGUGCCGCCUCCACCUGGGGAGUUCCAUCACCUGCUGCCACCUGCCGAUCUUUUGCAUUACUUUGGAACCAAGAACAAACACGAAG